rnacentral:tRNA from 1 species
GCCUAAUUAGCUGAGUUGGUAGUGCGUCUGCCUUGUAAGCGCUAGGCCGCGGGUUCGAUUCCCGCCCGGGGCG